GACGAACGCUGGCGGCGUGCUUAACACAUGCAAGUCGAGCGAGACCCUGCCUUCGGGUGGGUGUUCUAGCGGCGAACGGGUGAGUAACACGUGGGCAACCUGCCCUCAGCUCUGGGAUAACUCCAAGAAAUUGGGGCUAAUACCGGAUAUGACUGCUGACCGCAUGGUCUGGUGGUGGAAAGGUUUAUCGGCUGGGGAUGGGCCCGCGGCCUAUCAGCUUGUUGGUGGGGUAGUGGCCUACCAAGGCGACGACGGGUAGCCGGCCUGAGAGGGUGACCGGCCACACUGGGACUGAGACACGGCCCAGACUCCUACGGGAGGCAGCAGUGGGGAAUAUUGCGCAAUGGGCGGAAGCCUGACGCAGCGACGCCGCGUGGGGGAUGACGGCCUUCGGGUUGUAAACCUCUUUCAGCAGGGACGAAGCGAAAGUGACGGUACCUGCAGAAGAAGCACCGGCCAACUACGUGCCAGCAGCCGCGGUAAUACGUAGGGUGCAAGCGUUGUCCGGAAUUAUUGGGCGUAAAGAGCUCGUAGGCGGUUUGUUGCGUCGGCUGUGAAAUCCCGAGGCUCAACCUCGGGUCUGCAGUCGAUACGAGCAAACUAGAGUGUUGCAGGGGAGACUGGAAUUCCUGGUGUAGCGGUGAAAUGCGCAGAUAUCAGGAGGAACACCGGUGGCGAAGGCGGGUCUCCGGGCAACAACUGACGCUGAGGAGCGAAAGCGUGGGGAGCGAACAGGAUUAGAUACCCUGGUAGUCCACGCCGUAAACGUUGGGCGCUAGGUGUGGGGCUCAUUCCACGAGUUCCGUGCCGCAGCUAACGCAUUAAGCGCCCCGCCUGGGGAGUACGGCCGCAAGGCUAAAACUCAAAGGAAUUGACGGGGGCCCGCACAAGCGGCGGAGCAUGUUGCUUAAUUCGAUGCAACGCGAAGAACCUUACCUAGGCUUGACAUGCACGGAAAUCUCGCAGAGAUGCGGGGUCCGUAAGGGCCGUGCACAGGUGGUGCAUGGUUGUCGUCAGCUCGUGUCGUGAGAUGUUGGGUUAAGUCCCGCAACGAGCGCAACCCUCGUUCUAUGUUGCCAGCACGUCAUGGUGGGGACUCAUAGGAGACUGCCGGGGUCAACUCGGAGGAAGGUGGGGAUGACGUCAAAUCAUCAUGCCCCUUAUGUCUAGGGCUGCAAACAUGCUACAAUGGCCGGUACAAAGGGCUGCGAUACCGCGAGGUGGAGCGAAUCCCAAAAAGCCGGUCUCAGUUCGGAUUGGGGUCUGCAACUCGACCCCAUGAAGUUGGAGUCGCUAGUAAUCGCAGAUCAGCAACGCUGCGGUGAAUACGUUCCCGGGCCU
rnacentral:rRNA from 1 species